rnacentral:rRNA from 1 species
GAUGAACGCUGGCGGCGUGCCUAAUACAUGCAAGUCGAGCGAACAGACGAGGAGCUUGCUCCUCUGACGUUAGCGGCGGACGGGUGAGUAACACGUGGAUAACCUACCUAUAAGACUGGGAUAACUUCGGGAAACCGGAGCUAAUACCGGAUAAUAUAUUGAACCGCAUGGUUCAAUAGUGAAAGACGGUUUUGCUGUCACUUAUAGAUGGAUCCGCGCCGCAUUAGCUAGUUGGUAAGGUAACGGCUUACCAAGGCAACGAUGCGUAGCCGACCUGAGAGGGUGAUCGGCCACACUGGAAAUGAUACACGGUCCAGACUCCUACGGGAGGCAGCAGUAGGGAAUCUUACGAAAUGGGCGAAAGCCUGACGGAGCAACGCCGCGUGAGUGAUGAAGGUCUUCGGAUCGUAAAACUCUGUUAUUAGGGAAGAACAAAUGUGUAAGUAACUAUGCACGUCUUGACGGUACCUAAUCAGAAAGCCACGGCUAACUACGUG